GUGAGAACAAUCAACACCGAAUCCAAACGCGGAAGCAGCUGAAACGAGAAAACACUCAAAGAAAAUCUAGUGAGCGACGAACAUCUUCACCGUGUUUUUCAUUUGCGCUCGCCUCCAAUCACCAGCGUCAACGCGGAGCGUCGCAUCUCAUUGCAUCACGUUCUCAUCGCAUCAGUUACAAAUUUGCGUUUUCAACACAACAUCGUCGUAUCUUCAACAAUCAGUUGUGGCGUCGCGCCUUCGUCGUCGUCUCAAGCUCCGCCCACUCGCGACGAAUAAUGCAAAGUACGUCGCUCCAUUCAGUGUGUCAUGUUUCAAAUUCUCCAUCACCAUCUCCAUUCAAGUUUGUAACCGCACACACGCGAAAACGGAAAAAAUGGCAUCGAAAAGGGAUCGAUGAACUUACCGGAUCGCCACAAUUUGUGAAUAGGGGAAUGGUGAAAAUCAGUUGCGGAACGAUGGCUUUGUGCGUAUGAAGAAAUUGCAGAAUGGUGGCUUUAUGCAGAAGCAAAAAAAUUGCAGAAUCAGCAAAAAAAACUCUCUGAUGCAGAGUUGAAGAAAAUGAUGCAGAAUGAAGAAUCUUUUUCCAAAUCACAGUGCAGGGCAAUAUUGUGGAGCUUUGGAAAUGUUUCACGAAGGCUGAUGUAUAUUAUGAUUGGUAUUAGUUAUAAUCAACUGAAAAUGAAUAAUUAGGAUGUUGUUUAAAAUCUGUUAGUUGCAGGUUAUGAAUCUCAUGAAGGGCUUGCCGUAUCGGAUCAGUGGCAAGAGUUAUCAUGCAGUGUUCAAGCCAUGGAUUUUUCCUGUUAUCAACUUGCAGGGUCAUGGACUUGAAGGAUAGUAUUAGUUCUAAUCUACAUGUUAAGAUUUGGUGCAGCUUGGUUGCAGGACGGUGCAGCCCGAUUGUGUGAUGGAUGAAAGAAAACAAGCCUAUUUGGAUGUUGAAUUAGAAGUUAGGAUUUGGGAAUUUGAAUUUAUUACGAGUAAUGAUGUAUAAAUUUUGAACAAGUUAUAUGUUAUAGAAAAAUUUAAUGUAAAAUAUUGGAUUGUGACAUGAAUAGGAUUUGAUUAGAAACUUUGUGAAUGGAAUAAAAAAUAUGAAAAUGGAUUGAAGGUUGUAAUUGAAAUUGAAUGUGUUUUUAGUUAAAAAGAAAGAAAAUUAUACAUGAA